rnacentral:snoRNA from 13 species
CUGCGAAUAUUCUCGCUGGCCUGAUAUGCCCGUGAUCAGGUCAGGCUAGACAUUCGCUAUAUUGAGACCCAGCAUUGUGUCCCCGGGAUUAGUCCUUGCCCUAAUCCUGGUUUUGCAAAUGCUGGUGACAAAU